UACGAAGGGGGCUAGCGUUGUUCGGAAUUACUGGGCGUAAAGCGCGUGUAGGCGGGCCGUUAAGUCGGGGGUGAAAGCCCAGAGCUCAACUCUGGAAUUGCCUUCGAUACUGGCGGCCUGGAGCAUGAUAGAGGCGAGUGGUAAUUGCGAGUGUAGAGGUGAAAUUCGUAGAUAUUCGCAGGAACACCAGUGGCGAAGGCGAAUCGCCGGAUCAUUGCUGACGCUGAGACGCGAAAGCGUGGGGAGCAAACAGG
rnacentral:rRNA from 1 species